rnacentral:lncRNA from 1 species
UCCAUCUCGGAGCAGAAGGAGAUGCUGCAAUCCUCAUCUUGCCAUUGGGUGGAAUCUGGUUUUGUUGCUGCUUCUGUCAUAGAAAGAUGACAGAAAGGAAGAGAAUGACUAGAAGGGAAUGGGCAGUGGCUGGCUUCCUUCACUGGAAAGGAAGCAAGGGCUAUUCCAUUAGCCUCCUACAAUGUGGGAGAAAUAAUCGCUUAUGAUCAGGAGAGUAGGCACUGAUAUCAUGGCCUCUUGUUAUCCUGCUCCAGGAUGAAAUGUUUCUCUUUCUUUUGCCACAUAAAAAGGAAGGAUCAGGGAGUUGUUUGGGUUUGUGCCCUGCCUGGAGACAGCAAUAUAUUCCAGCCAUUCAGAUGAGAGACUUGCUGAUGAGCACGUGGG